rnacentral:rRNA from 1 species
UACGAAGGGGGCUAGCGUUGUUCGGAAUUACUGGGCGUAAAGCGUGCCCAGGCGGCUUCUCAAGUCAGGGGUGAAAGCCCAGAGCUCAACUCUGGAAUUGCCUUUGAGACUGAGUGGCUUGAGUACGAGAGAGGUGAGUGGAAUUCCCAGUGUAGAGGUGAAAUUCGUAGAUAUUGGGAAGAACACCGGUGGCGAAGGCGGCUCACUGGCUCGUAACUGACGCUCAUGCACGACAGCGUGGGGAUCAAACAGG